AAGAAGCUCCCAAGGGUUUGGCUGUUCGCCAAUGAAAGUGGUACGUGAGCUGGGUUCAGACCGUCGUGAGACAGGUCGGUCCCUAUCUGCCGUGGGCGCGCGAAGCUUGAGGGGGUUCUUCUUUAGUACGAGAGGAUUUGGAAGGACGUAGCUCUGGUGUACCAGUUGUCGCGCUAGCGGCACGGCUGGAUAGCUAACUACGGAACGGAUAAACGCUGAAAGCAUCUAAGCGUGAAGCCCGCCCCAAGAUUAGGCUUCGUAAGCGCGAUCGCGCGAAAGUCCCCUGGAAGACGACCAGGUUGAUAGGCCGGAAGUGUAAGCACGGUAACGUGUUCAGCUAACCGGUACUAAAGGACGAAAGCUUGGCCAC
rnacentral:rRNA from 1 species